rnacentral:rRNA from 1 species
CUCUAGCAUGAAGUCAGACAAGUGAA